CCUCCCCCCAGCUUGCUGCCAUUCCUGUCAUCCCAGUGAGGAGAUCCUGCAAGAUGGCUGCCAGAAGGGGCUGGUGAGAAAAUUGCUUGCUGCUCUGGGGCCCUUGCCUCUGCCUUUAGAUAAACAUCUUCCUAAUCCCUCUCACUGCAGCUUAUCAGCCAAUAAAGAUGUCAUUGUUCUAGCAUCUUUCUUCCCAAGAACUCAGGAUGCUUUGAAAAGUAACAUUUUAUAAAUUCUCCGUGUCUCUGAAAAAUGAAAGGCAAUCACAUGUUGCAUAGAGGGAUAAGCUGGAGUAGAAAGGUUAGGGAAAGAACUAGAAACGGGAUUCAGAUUUCCCUUAACACUCAUACCAAGACACUCACUUGCCAAGGAGUGUGCUUCAGGCACCGAAAGGUGAAGGGUGUAGCACAGCCAGUGUGAGAGGGAAGGAAGAAAGGAUGCACAGACAGCACCUCCCGGUUGCCUCUGGCCAUCAGUCAGUCAGGAAGUGAUUAGCACACGUCUGUGACAGUGACCACAAGUUCCAAGCCUGGGGGAUGCAGAGCAGACGUGGGGCCCACCUUUGCAAUAUUGACAAUCCAGCAAGAGAGUCUUUUGUCGUGUUUGCAGACCUACUGGAUGGUUCUGUGUAAAAACCGUACAUGUGGGUCGUAAAGAGGUUUCCUUCUCUCUCACUCUGGCUCCCGAGGUCUAAAAAUUGUGACACUUGCCUGAACAAAGGAGCGCACUGGCCCAGUCAAACACUUCCUAUGUCCCUGUGCCCUGUCAGUGCUUUCCAAACCAUGUUCCUCAGAGGUCUGGGGAUGGGGAGGGGGCAGGUUUGGGCAUAAGGACUCCCUUCAACCAGUAGAGCUCUACUAUUUUCUCUUUGGGGAUUCUGCAUUUAAAAAGUCUGUCGGGGGUGGCUCAGUCGGUUAAGCGUCUGACUCUUGAUCUCAGCUCAGGUCUUGAUCUCAGGGUUGUGAAUUCAAGCUCCGUGUUGGGCUCUGCACUAGGUGUGAAGCCUACUUUUUAAAAAAAAAAAAAAAAAAAAAAAAGUCAACCAAUAAAAAGGAUUUUGCUACUUAAAAAAAAUUUUUUUGAAAGUUACAGGCUCACCAAGUAAAAUCCAGAUUCCUCAGCAUAGCCCUUAAAGACAUUGACCACUUGAGGUUCAUAACCCAUAAUUUCCCAUCCUGAACUUGAGCUGCAGUCAACUGUGAACUGCUCGCACACGAACACACCUCGAAUUCUGUGCUUCUGCUGUUCCCAUCACCUGGAAUACGCCUCCACCCUGAUUCUCCCUCUAACUGACAGGCACCUCUGCUUCCUCAGGCCUGGCUCAUUCAUCUUUCUAGGGUCAGGCUCUCUCCACGACUUUGUCUCCAGGAGCUUGCACACGCCUGUGGUACAGUAGCUCUCACGCUGUGCCAUAUGUAUCGACUUCAAGUCUGUCCCUCUCUCCCACCCCCAUCUCCUAGCUGAACUAAUUGACCCAGGAACUGCUUUCUGUGUCCUCAGUCUGCAGCACAGUGCCCACAGAGUUGUCCUCCAUGAAUGUUUGCUAUCUUCGAAUUGAACUUAAUGUGGCCAGAAUUUAGAAACCAAAAGUUACUCAGCAUAAUUUAUGUUGUAAAGUACCCAAACAAAGGUGUACUAACUGAAUCAGCUUGAUGCUGUGUUAUUUUUUUUUUUUAUGAUUUCCAGUAUCUUCAUCAAAUUAAUUCAGUGACUUAAUCUAAAAAGUUCAUCUUCAAGACCAUCAUCAGACUACAGAAUUAAUCUAUGGGGCUGUUUCUUCCUCUUCUUUUUUUAAAGGAUUAAUGGUAACCCUUUUUAUCUUUUGUGUCUGUUGAACCUUAGAAAAAAAGUUAUUUUAACAGCACUCAAGAAAUGAAAGUCACUAUAUUUCCCAAGUUUAGCCUGUGAUUUUUAUCAGCAUAGUGAUAUAUGUUUGUAGCUGAGUUUACAUCAAAAAUUAUUCUGGGGGCCUUCUUGAAUGAAUUAUGGCAAAGAGAGAGAGUCUAGAAGUAGAUAAGGUUUUUGAUUUCUGCAAUAUAUUUCCUUUUUCAUGUUUUUAUCUCUCGUAACACAAGCGUCCUGCCGAAGACUGGAACGUGUGACCAACUGGAAUAAUGUAGUUGUGAAAACAGCAGACGUGUUAUUAAACAGCCUCUUUACAAAAAGGCAUGUGUGGAUACAGGAUAGGAACUCUUUGGCAUCAUGAGUUAACCACAACUGCGAGAGACUGUCGAGCCCUCGUGAAUAGAACCUGCUGGAUGUUUGAGAUGAGACUCAGUUAAGGUUAUGAGUUAAAUUAGCUGGGCUUAUUGGUGACCUCCCGCUUAAAUGAAUCUUUCUUUUCAUAAGUACUUGACAAGAUCUGUAAAGUAGUGUAUUUAAUUUACUAAUUAAAUUAAAGCUACUGAAUAAUGA